rnacentral:rRNA from 1 species
UACAGAGGAGCCAAGCGUUGUCCGGAUUGACUGGGCGUAAAGCGCACGCAGGCGGGGGUGCGCGUGGGGGGGGAAAUCUGGCCGCUUAACGGCCAGGCGCCAUCCCAUACGGCACGCCUGGAGUGAUGCAGAGGUCGAUGGAAUUGCCGGUGUAGUGGUGAAAUGCGUAGAGAUCGGCAGGAACACCCAGGGGGAAACCAGUCGACUGGGCAUCUACUGACGCUGAGGUGCGAGAGCGUGGGGAGCGAACCGG